rnacentral:rRNA from 1 species
AUUGAACGCUGGCGGCAUGCUUUACACAUGCAAGUCGAACGGCAGCGCGGGCUUCGGCCUGGCGGCGAGUGGCGAACGGGUGAGUAAUGCAUCGGAACGUGCCCAGUAGUGGGGGAUAGCCCGGCGAAAGCCGGAUUAAUACCGCAUACGACCUGAGGGUGAAAGCGGGGGACCGAAAGGCCUCGCGCCAUUGGAGCGGCCGAUGUCGGAUUAGCUAGUUGGUGGGGUAAAGGCUUACCAAGGCGACGAUCCGUAGCUGGUCUGAGAGGACGACCAGCCACACUGGGACUGAGACACGGCCCAGACUCCUACGGGAGGCAGCAGUGGGGAAUUUUGGACAAUGGGGGCAACCCUGAUCCAGCCAUGCCGCGUGCGGGAAGAAGGCCUUCGGGUUGUAAACCGCUUUUGUUCGGGAAGAAAUCCUCUGGGCUAAUACCCCGGGGGGAUGACGGUACCGGAAGAAUAAGCACCGGCUAACUACGUG